UACGUAGGGUGCGAGCGUUGUCCGGAAUUAUUGGGCGUAAAGGGCGCGUAGGCGGGCCAUCAAGUCGAGGGUGAAAGCCCCCAGCUCAACUGGGGAAGUGCCUCCGAUACUGGUGGUCUCGAGGGAGAUAGGGGCGUGCGGAACUUCCGGUGGAGCGGUGAAAUGCGUAGAUAUCGGAAGGAACACCGGUGGCGAAAGCGGCGCGCUGGAUCUCUUCUGACGCUGAGGCGCGAAAGCCAGGGGAGCGAACGGG
rnacentral:rRNA from 1 species